rnacentral:lncRNA from 1 species
GCUUUUUUGUGGACUUUAGCGGAACUUGUUGUUGUGGACUUUAACGGCGUUUUCUUGUGGACUUUAGCGGAGGUCAUUUUGUGGACUUUAGCGGAAAGUUUGUGGACUUUAGCGGCGUUGUGGACUUUAGCGGCAAUUUGUUGUGGACUUUAGCGGUGUUGUGGACUUUAGAGGAAUUGUGGACUUUAACGGUGCCACAAUGCAGU